rnacentral:rRNA from 1 species
UAAGGAAUAUUGGACAAUGGAGGCAACUCUGAUCCAGCCAUGCCGCGUGAAGGAAUAAGGCCCUAUGGGUUGUAAACUUCUUUUAGACGGGACAAAACCCCUUUACGUGUAAAGGGUUGAUGGUACUGUCAGAAUAAGCAUCGGCUAACUUCGUGCCAGCAGCCGCGGUAAUACGAAGGAUGCAAGCGUUAUCCGGAAUUAUUGGGUUUAAAGGGUGCGUAGGCGGACUAAUAAGUCAGUGGUGAAAGCCUGCAGCUUAACUGCAGAAUUGCCAUUGAUACUGUUAGUCUUGAGUACAGUUGAGGUAGGCGGAAUGUGUCAUGUAGCGGUGAAAUGCUUAGAUAGGACACAGAACACCGAUUGCGAAGGCAGCUUGCUAAGCUGUAACUGACGCUGAGGCACGAAAGCGUGGGGAGCAAACA